rnacentral:rRNA from 1 species
AAAUAGAUACCCCCGGUAGUCCACCCCGUAAACGUUGGGAACUAGUUGUGGGGUCCUUUCCACGGAUUCCGUGACGCAGCUAACGCAUUAAGUUCCCCGCCUGGGGAGUACGGCCGCAAGGGCUAAAACUCAAAGGAAUUGACGGGGACCCGCACAAGCGGCGGAGCAUACGGAUUAAUUCGAUGCAACGCGAAGAACCUUACCAAGGCUUGACAUACACCGGAAACGGCCAGAGAUGGUCACCCCGCAAGGUCGGUGUACAGGUGGUGCAUGGUUGUCGUCAGCUCGUGUCGUGAGAUGUUGGGUUAAGUCCCGCAACGAGCGCAACCCUCGGUUCUAUGUUGCCAGCACGUCAUGGUGGGAACUCAUGGGAUACUGCCGGGGUCAACUCGGAGGAAGGUGGGGAUGACGUCAAAUCAUCAUGCCCUUAUGUCUUGGGCUUCACGCAUGCUACAAUGGCCGGUACAAAGGGCUGCAAUACCGUGAGGUGGAGCGAAUCCCGAAAAGCCGGUCCAGUUCGGAUUGAGGUCUGCACUCGACCUCA